AUACUUACCUGGCAGGGGAGAUACCAUGAUCAAGAAGGUGGUUCACCUUGGUGAGGCCUGACCAUUGCACUCCGGUUGGGUUGACCUCAACGAAUUCCCAAAUGUGGGAAUCUCGACUGCAUAAAUUUGUGGUAGUGGGGGGGUUCGCGCUGACCCCUG